rnacentral:pre_miRNA from 1 species
UUAACUCAUAUUUGUAUGGAGUGGGAUCGUUUGCCUACGUUUGCCGCUAGGGGCGCUGUUCCAACUGCAUACAAAAUUGGACUA